UACGUAGGGUCCGAGCGUUGUCCGGAAUUACUGGGCGUAAAGAGCUCGUAGGCGGUUUGUUGCGUCGGCUGUGAAAUCCCGAGGCUCAACCUCGGGUCUGCAGUCGAUACGAGCAAACUAGAGUGUUGCAGGGGAGACUGGAAUUCCUGGUGUAGCGGUGAAAUGCGCAGAUAUCAGGAGGAACACCGGUGGCGAAGGCGGGUCUCUGGACAGUUCCUGACACUGAGACACGAAGGCCAGGGGAGCAAACGGG
rnacentral:rRNA from 1 species